CUACGAUCGAUAUUUAUCCCUUAAUAUACCUGUCAGUGAAACUAAUUACACCGUCUACCCGGCCAGUAAGUCGAGAGGGAUUUUUGGCCGGGGUGGCCGCUCAACCUCGGCCAAGAAAUCUAUCAAAGUCAAGUUCUUCUUUGCGGAAUCCGCUGAUUCCUCGUCAGGCAUCUGCUCGGUAAUGCGGUUACCGAGCAUAUAUACGAAUCAUCUUUCGUUUCCUCCUCUUGGAUCCUUGAAGUUUAUCCAAUUUUUUCCCUAACGAAUCGAGGAGAAACGACACGAGGUGUUGGGAAAAUAUUUUUCGGAUAGGAGAUUAUAAAAGUGUUGGGAUAAAGUAAAUUUUUCGAAAAGAUUGGACGUUGAGAAUACAUAUACAAGAGAUACAAGAGGAAGAAGAAGUUCUUUUGUAAAGUAUAAACGUGUAUACGAAUAAAUAUUCGAAAGAGAGAAUAAAAUUCGUUCCCACGGUCUUCGAAGUACGUAAUAAUAAACGUACGUUAAAUUCAUUGAGCACAAAACAUUGUUUAUAUACAUUUCCACCGAUAUUAUAAUACCAAUUCUCCCCGCCCAUAUGAGUCACGAGUAUACGAAAUAUACGCGUUCGUAAACAAAAGUCGAGUGUUAUCGUUCAGUGUCUCGCCGAAUUUCUAACCGCUCGUGCGCUCGUUUCCAACUCGUCGUUUCCUUCCUCGUGGAAGAAAUUUUAACAAAUUCGCGUUUCCGUUUCGAGAUGGAGGAAGAGGAUCGACGGAGAAGGAGAAGAGGAAGCGUGGAUUAACGAAAGUGAAUUGAUUUUCGGCGGAGGCGCGAGUUUCGACUUUCAAAACGGAGAGAACACGUGCAACUUGGAAUUAUUAAAAAAGAACCAACCUGGUCAGGCUUGAAAAUCUAACGGUGUCCCGUGUUAACGGUGUGCGGUCCAUCCAUGGAUCGUGCGUGGAAGGCGUUACGAGGAAGAUCGAAGGAAGAUCGAUCGAAGGCAGACAUCGUCGAUGAUAUUUUUCGCAGCGGGGAUCAUCUUCGAUAUAGCUAUUCCGUUAAGUGUAGCGAAGUUAGUGUUAAAGUGUUGCUCGCAUUCCUCGAUACGUUUCUUUCUUUCGCGAUUUUCGUGAGGGUUUUCGUUCGAUUUGGGUUAAAGAUUGAACGUAGUUUUUCGUAAUUUGUACUCGUUUCUCAAUCUUCGUUUUUCGCGAUUGAAACGAGGCUCGUUUGAGACACGAGGAUUGAGAAAUAAAUAAUUAGGGAUCGGUCGUAGCGUUAUCGUGUAAUAAAGAACAAUGGUAUAGGAACGAGUAAUUAAAGCAUAAUUAAAAUAAUGGAAUUUGUAAGUAAAUAAGUAAGUAAUGGGAACAGAUUAAAGCAUUACGAGUAAUUACAAGUAAGAUUUCAAAAAUGUGAAAAUUAACGUUUAACGUAUUGCUUUAGAAAAAAAAAAAAAAAGAAUUAAUUCCGAGAUUAAUUAAUUUUGAUUUCCAAACAGGAUAAUCGAUGCCAGGAGAAACGUUGCACUUUCGAACCGUUCGAAUAAUAGAAUAAAAUUUUCGAUUCUACGCUUUAAUUAAUCCGUAACGUAUACCGAUGACUCAUUUUCGGCCAAUGUUUUUCUUCUCUUUAAUUCUCAAACAAUAACAAUAAGAUAUCGGAUCCCAGAUCAUCGCGUAUAUUCAUCGAUUCCCUUGAUAAUUUCACCGUUUAUUCUCUCCGUUUCAAAAUUUAUUCGGAAAAUCGAAAGAUGAAAAAAAAUCGGAAUAGCGUGAAAUCGGUAACGGCCUAGUUUCUCGACACGAUAGCAACAUCCCACGGAUUAUACAUGGUUGCUCCCCAAGUCAGCCAUCAAGGGGGGGGCCCAGGGAAAACGUUUCCAAUCAGGAGUCAAUUACAGGCCAAUGAUGUCAUAGUCAUUAUUAGUGGUGCAAUUGCGCGGAAUGUCGGCCACUAAGUUAUGAAACUGCAAGAAUCUAUUCGCCGCCACGCGGUGGCCUGUAAUGUGGUACACUUUCUCCCGGGCAGAGAUAAAUAUCUUGCGUGUGUGUGUGUGUGAGACGACGGUGUUCUCUUUUAAAACGCGACUAUUUGCCAACGCUCGAUCGGGCUCCCGACGCGAAAACUCGAGCAGAACAGAAACUCUCUUGUACGACGAGAGGAUUUCCAUUUCUUUCCCUCCCCUCCCUUCGUCCAUUCCGUGAUUUAUUGAAAAUAUUUCGUUCCUCUUUUCUAUCCCUGUUUCGUUUGUCUUUUCCGCGUAUAUUAGUUUCUUCCUUCUUCUUCUUUCUUUUUUUCGAAAAAAGAGGAAGGGAGGGAAAGAUUAGCGUCGAUGAAUCCGGGAAUUUUUCUCGAUAAAAUAUAUGGGAAUUCGAUCGACACUCGCGGGUUAUUUGUUCUCCAAGCAUUCGAUAUAUAUAUAGAGAGAGAGAGUAGGUUUGUUCGAUGAUACGGGCGGAAUGUCAUGGAUUAUACUAUCAGAGAUUAUCAUUCCAUGGAUUGUUCAUCGUUUAAGCGUUCUAUUUUUUCCCCUCUCUCUCUCUCCUAUCUUCGGUGCGAUUGAUUAAAUCGAUCGAUACGUUUAGAUAAUAUUUUUUUUUAAAUAUACCGCGAGUAUAAUUACAAAGUCUUAAAUAUCUAUAGAUCAUUUCUCCAUCCAAGAAAAGAGAAGAAGAAGAGAAGAAAAGUCUCUUGUUUCAAAUUCCUCGAGAAACGUUGUUUGGCGUCCGAGUGACUCACAUACGGAUUGCGUUAUGACCUCGGUGCAAUAUCGAUUCGAUAUUAUCGGUAUUAUUAAAGCUUCGCGGAGACAGGAUUCCGACGCCGUCCAUAAACGGCGGUGAAGAAAAUAAGCGGCGUUUCAAGCGGCCAACAUAGUUGGCAUUCGUCCGACCCCUGUCCGAACCGACCGAACCCGGCUUCCGUAUAAAAACCGUAUUUCGAUCAAUUAUUCGUCCUUCUGUAUAUCGCGCGCCUAAUAAAUCUUUCGAGUUUCUCUCUGCCUCUGUGUGGAGCGCGCGCGCUCUCUCUCUAAAGAUUCCAAGGAGAGAUUCCGGAAGAGCGAAAUCGUGUCGGUCUUUUUUGAAAAAUCUCUGUCAAUUUUGCCAGAAAUUAACACCAUCGUCAAAAGAUUCGAUUUCGAUUUUCCUAGGAUAGCUAUUUUCAUUUAUCCAUCGACUUGCAGGCUCCUCCAAGCCUCUCGAAUUAUACACGAAGGGGGAAGAAAUAAAUUGGAAUAUCGUCAGAAAAGUCAGGAGGAGGCUGUUCGAUUGGAUCGCGUGUUGAAAUUUGAAAUUUUGCCCGGGGAGAAUCGUGGACGGCCGCGUUUGCGGAAAUCCUUGCCGCGACCCGUGAGCCGCCGCGAGUCCCGCAAGGCCGUUUUAAACGCUGGAAUUCGGGCCACUCGUUUCUCUAGAAAGGAGCACGCCGUUCGCUCGCUCUCGCGCGCGCACUUCAAAUAAUAAAAACCGCGCGCCGUUCUCCCCCCGCUCCCGUGUUUGUUUUUCGCGCGGAUUUCGAUCCCCUCGCCUGAAACGAUCCGGGAGAAAGAAGUUGGAAAGCGAGCGAGAUCCUUGUUGCUGCUGCUCUUUAUUAUCGAGAAAUAAUUCGAAAGAUAACCGAGUUGAUCGUGUAACGAGUAGAUAUUUCAGAAAUGUAGCUUCGAGUAGAAGAUAGGUAGAUGUAAUCACCGUUGUCGCCAUUAUUUCUUUUAUCUUCCAAGUUGAAGCUUCUCUUCAACGCCUCAACAAUGUAAUCGAUAAAAUUGUAGAUUCGAUAUACCACGAUUUUUAUAUAGAUAAGUUUCGAAUCAUUCGUUCGAAUUAUAAAAUUAAUACGAAUACGAAAAGUUUUGGACAAAGCUGUCCAAAAAAGAGACGCGUGAAUAUGAACGUUCGUGAAUUAUACCACGAUUUUUAUCUCGACCUAAGUUUCAGUACAAUUCGAAGUUCUUUCGAAUUGUAAAAUUAACAUCCUUGAUAUGAAUACAAGAAAAGUUUUGGACAAAGCUGUCCAAAAAAGAGAUUCGUGAAUAUACGUUCGUGAAUUAUACCACGAUUUUUAUCUCGAUAAGUUUCGAAUCAUUCGUUCGAAUUGUAAAAUUAAUACGAAUACAAAGUUUUGGACAAAGGUGUCCAAAAAAGAGACGCGUGAAUAUGAACGUUCGUGAAUUAUACCACGAUUUUUAUCUCGACCUAAGUUUCAGUAUAAUUCGAAGUUCUUUCGAAUUGUAAAAUUAACACCUUUGAUACGAAUACAAAGUUUUGGACAAAGCUGUCCAAAAAAGAGACGCGUGAAUAUGAACAUUCGUGAAUUAUACCACGAUUUUUAUCUCGACCUAAGUUUCGAAUCGUUCGUUCGAAUUGUAAAAUUAAUACGAAUACAAAGUUUUGGACAAAGGUGUCCAAAAAAGAGACGCGUGAAUAUGAACGUUCGUGAAUUAUAUCACGAUUUUUAUCUCGACCUAAGUUUCAGUACAAUUCGAAAUUCUUUCGAAUUGUAAAAUUAAUAUCCUUGAUACGAAUACAAGAAAAGUUUUGGACAAAGGUGUCCAAAAAAGAGACGCGUGAAUAUACGUUCGUGAAUUAUACCACGAUUUUUAUCUCGACCUAAGUUUCGAAUCAUUCGUUCGAAUUGUAAAAUUAAUACGAAUACAAAGUUUUGGACAAAGCUGUCCAAAAAAGAGACUCGUGAAUAUACGUUCGUGAAUUAUACUACGAUUUUUAUCUCGAUAAGUUUCGAAUCAUUCGUUCGAAUUAUAAAAUUAAUACGAAUACAAAGUUUUGGACAAAGGUGUCCAAAAAAGAGACGCGUGAAUAUGAACGUUCGUGAAUUAUACCACGAUUUUUAUCUCGACCUAAGUUUCAGUACAAUUCGAAGUUCGUUCGAAUUGUAAAAUUAACACCUUUGAUACGAAUACAAAAUUUUGGACAAAGCUGUCCAAAAAAGAGACGCGUGAAUAUGAACGUUCGUGAAUUAUACCACGAUUUUUAUUUCGACCUAAGUUUCACCGUUCGUUCGAAUUGUAAAAUUAAUACGAAUACAAAGUUUUGGACAAAACUGUCCAAAAAAGAGACGCGUGAAUAUGAACGUUCGUGAAUUAUAUAAAUUUCGAAGGCUCGUUCGCAAAGGCCAUUGUGCCACUGCAAGAUUGCAACGUGAAUCACGCACCGUGCCCCCGGACUGUAGCGCCUAAUCGAGAUCGGGCUGACUCACAGCCUUUCCGCGAUCGUGCGUUCGCUACCUUGCGCGCUCGAAAACUUCUCGAGAUCCAUCUCUCGUCAACGAGAUCCCCCUCGUUGAAGAGUUUCCGUGGGAACCGAUCGAGAAACGCGGUCGAACGCGGAAGGUCCUCGCGAUGACGUGUUGUUCGCCGGCUCGUGAAUCGCGAUAAGCGGAAGCCGGCAUUGUUCCGUGGAACCGAGAUCACGGGGUGAUUUUCGCGGGAGAAAUUUCGCACACGAUUCCUCCAAUGAUUAAAAAAAUAUACACGAAAGAUUCGACUCGCGUGUUCUUCUUGUUUCUAGUUUUGUUCAUUCAUCUAAUUCGUUUUCGACGAUGAACGUAUACGUAAAGAACAGACGAGAAGACCAAUGGAGAUCUGUUAAUUAGAGAGUACUUUACUUUCUCCUGUUUUUGUUUUUAAUAUUACGUAAAAUUGUGAUAAAGAGUUUCUCUCCUUGUGCGCGAGAAAUAUUAUUAAAAAAGGGGGACGCGAAACUUUAAACUUAACUUUGAAAUCAUUCACGUUGAACGUAGAAUUCGCGCAUUUUAGGAACGAAUGGAAAGAUCGGUUUCCACGAUCGAGCAAUGAGUCAGAGAAGAUUUAAGGGGUUGGGCUUGUACGUACGUACACGCGGUUAUUUCGGGUCGGCAAAUCCUUGCGCGGCGAUCCGGCCGUCUCGAUGCCCAUAAAAGGGCACGAAACUGCCGAAACCCGUGCGACUCCUUGGACAACAACGGGUUGAAAUAUUCUUAUGACGAGCGAAACCGCUUCUUAUGGAGGUAAUACCGGGAACAGCUUGUCACACAUCGCGCGCUUCGUGAACCCUCCUCGAUUCGUUCGUGUUGCGAUUUUUCGAUUUUCGAGCAAUGGAAUUCCGCGUUCCUCUUCCUUUUUUUUUUUUCGUUUCUUUUUUUCUUAAGGAUCCAAUCGAAAAGGGGAGGGAAAGGAAGGGAAAGGAGAGCGAUUUUUGCCUACGCACGUAAACCAGGCGGUUGACGGUAUAUCAAUUCAUUUUGAAAGACAACAACGCUGUUCGUUUCCAGAAUGUGUUUUCGAUAAAUUGUUAUUGGCCGAGUUGAUAGAUAAAAGAUAGUUGGUAUAUAAUGGUGUACAAAUAGCUUUUGACAAGUUUAAAUAACAAUUGAUUAGGUAUUUAAAAUAAUUAGCAAUGGAAUGUAGUUACGAGUCGAAUUUUUAAAGUUUGUCCUAAUUUUAUUUUAUUUUUUUUUCCUCCUUUAUACGCGAAGAUUAUUAAGGAUCAACGUCGGAUCAUUUUUUAAUUUUUAAUCCAACGUUGUUGCGCGAACUAUAUUUAUAAAUAUAAUAUUAAAGCUGGCCGCAAUUCAUCGGUAUAAAGAAGAAAGUUGCAGAAAAUGUUUUUUUUUCUUUUUUUUUUUUUCCUCUUAACUAUGUUCCAUAUAUUCACACAUGACGUGUAUAUUAUACAAAUGAGUCUCCUUUUAAAAGCAAUUUAAAAUACGCAAAUGCACUUGAUAAAAACAUCUUAUUUACGUGACAACGAAUCGUGUGUGUAAAAGUAAAAAGGAAAAGAUAUCGUGUAAAACCUGAGAAUUGAAAAAAACGAACGUAGCUACUUAUCUAUAUAUCGAAAAAAUAUAUAUAUAUAUAUAUAUAAAUUUCGAAUGGGUAGAAUCAUUUUGCGAUAUAUCCAUAACAUUCUCCUCGGACUAAUUGGCCUACAUUUUUACAAUCGUUUAAGAGAAAGAGACUCGAAUGUAUAUAUACAUAUAUUCCAUUACGUGAUAACACUCCAAGAUUUUUUAAAAAAUCGGCGAGGAAUUCUUUUCUUGAAUAAUUUAAAAAUUCUCUCGAAAGGUAUGGAUUGCUCGCGAAUGGAAAUAAAGUAAAGUAAUUUUCGCAAGGAUAAUCGAUUCGAGGAGGGGAAUCGUCGUCCGACUAUUAACGCAUCCUUCCUCCCGAACAGGUCGAUCGUUUCGACCAGCCAUCGACCCCGCCAUUAUGUAAGGAUUAUGCAUUGUAUGUAUGUGUGUGUAUGUGUGUGUAUACGUUGUUGCGCCGAAGGCGCACGCGAACUCGCGCGCGUAUGAUUCAACCGAAUAACGUUCUCGAGGAGAAUACAGUUAGCGGAGAAUCCACGUUAGCGUUAAUCUCUGCAGGUGCCAACGUGGUACUUGCCAAUUAGGACGCUGCUUAUUUUCAACCAGAUUACUCGACCGAAUUCUCUCCACCACCGAAAUUUUUCAUUACGAAAAUUCCCUCUCCUCCCGAGUGAAUUAAAUAUUCAGGAGUUGGACACGCUCUUUUGCUUUGCAAGAAGCCUCUCCUCGAGUUCGAUUCGAAAAUUAAUUGCUCGAAUUGUUGUAGUUUUUAUUCGUACGAGUUAAACAUUCUUACAUUUUCUUCGAGUAUGAAAAUUCUUUUCUUCAAAUUGCUGAUAGUUUCUCUUUUUUUUUUUCAUUUUUCACAAAUAAGUCGAGACUGUACUCUUUCCUUUCGUGAAUCUACCGGUUGAAGAAUUUAAAAUUCAUCUUCAUCGCGGAAUCGGUUUGCGGAUAUCGAAGCGUUUCGCCAAAAAAAGAGAUAUUAGAUUUGACUUUAUUGAUUUUAUCUCGCGAAUAAAGUAGAUGGAAAAGCGUAAAUUCCUCUCUCUCUCUCUCUCACACACACUCUCCUCUUGCCCAAUUACACGGGGGAAGAGGAAACGAAGAGGCGUAUGUACGCGAAGACGUUUGAAUGAAUAGAAUAUCGCGUUGCUCGUAAUUUCCUGGAACAUUACUCGCGAAUACCGGUGCGCAUGCGCGAGCGCUAACGCGCGUGCAAGUAUUUAUCUCGUCACUGUGCGAGCGUGGUGUAAUCGCGAAGACGAUGAGCGCACGGCUCGUUGCCCGCUUCGUAGACCAAGCCGAACGGAAUUCCGGCUCUGCAAUUGCGGAACGCCUCGGUUAUUCCGUUCCACGGACCUCCCCUAGGACUACUCGUAACAUUUUUCGAAAAGAGAGAAAAGAAAGAGGACUCGAAUAUUUUAAUCGGUUGAACGAAUGUAAAUGUCGAGCGGUUGAUCCUCUUCGGUUCGAAACUUUCGAUUAAUCCUUGCUCGAAUAAAAAGAAUCAAAGAGAAAUAAAAGAAGAACGUACUGCUCGCUCUCUUUUCGAGGUAUUAUAUACCAGCAUUAAACGAGUGUUUUAAUCAACGUUUGAACGUUGGACUUAUCAAGAGAGAGAGAGAGAGAGAGGACCUGGUGGAGAGGAAGAGAUUGGGCCUCCUCGUCCUCCACGGUGGUCCGCUCCGGACGACGUAUUAAUUGAACCAUUCAUUUUACCGGCCGAUAUUAGGCGGUUUAACAAGGGAGGGGGGCGAGGAAUCUCGCGAGAGAGUGAGUGGAGGGAGCAUUAACAAUUCCAGCGGGGUUCCAGACUCGUUUCUUCUCUUCUCUCGGGGGUCGAGGCGGGUGGCAUCGAGAUCGGCGAACGGCUAGGACGAGAAACAAGAAGGAGAUAACGCGACGACGUUGAAGAAGCGUGAGAAUCGAGCGGAGGGAGAGGAAGUUAAGGAACAGAGAGAGAGAGAGAGGAGGAGGAGGAAUGCGCGCCGCGGAAGGUGCCCGACCGAGAAAAAAGGGAAAGAGGACCGCGAAGGUCGGCGAAGAAAACGUUUCUCGAAUGGAAUGCCGGGCGAAGUGGCUGCGAAGUGGACGAAAUCGCGAUUCCUGCGCAACAAUAAAAAUCGCUCCUCCUUGUUUAUCGAGUUGUAAACUGUAUAUACACAUAUACUCUAUACUCCUUCGUUGCUAUAUAUCGAAAUAGAUAAAGAGAUUGAACUUCGUUCGAGUUUCCCUCGAAAUUUUUCCUCUUUAUUUCGAUCCCCUCAAAACACGUAUAGAUAUUAACGAUCCGCGGAUCGAAAAGAGGAUACGUUCAGGAAAAGAAAGAGAGAAAGAUUAGAGAGAAGAGUGGCGAGUGAAAGACGGUUACCGAGUUGUGUACGGUCGAGGCGAAGACCAGUUCGGGAGGAGGAUCAUUGAACGGAGAGGCCGAGCGAGCGAAGUGAGCGAAGUCGGGUAUAUACACGACGAAAAAAUACAAAGAGCAGAAGAGAAGAAGCGUGGAAUGCAAAGAGAAGAAAGGGAGCGCUAAAACCGGCAGGAGGAGGACGAGGAAGAGGAGCAACGGCGGCGGCGGCGGCGGUGGCGGCGGCGGCGGCGGCGAGCAACUGGUGGAUGGAGAAGGAGUGGAGGAGCAGAGGGGAGGGGAGAGGAAAGUGGCGGGAUAAGGCCCUGGAUGCCCUGUGCGCCAGGGGCGGUUGUUGGCGGGUGAGCGUGCUAAGAAUACCGAGGAGGAGAGAAACGGCCGGGAAGAAUGUAAAAGACAAUGGAAUGUGUCGCGUCGCGCAUGCGUGGCUCCGUGGAAUGCGGCCCCGUAACGGCACAUCCGUUAGCCACAAUGUCUGCCACGAAACGCGGGGCCUUAUUGCGCGCAAUCGCUCUCCUCCUCUCUCUCUCUCUCUCUCUCCGCGAAACGCGCCUCCGAGGCGUUUCGACGCCGCUCGGAGGAAGGAACGGAUUCGCAGGCCGGAAGAAAAAUCGGCUUUCGCGUAAGCUUUUUCCACCUCGGUUGCUUCGCUCCUCCUUCUUAUUCCUCUUCUUCGUUCCUCCGCUGUGACGUAAUUUGUUUUCGUUUCGCGCGUUUCGCUCGUUAACGCGUUUUGUUAGGAAAUUAAUUAAUUUGAGAAAUGGAGUUUGAAUGAAAUUUGAAGUAAUAAUAAUAACAACGGAUGUAGAAACAAUAUUCGAUAAAUUAUUUUAUAUCGUAAUGGACGAAUCGUGGUUGAGCGUAGCGUAACGUAACGGAGAUGGAACGCGAGACUAUUCUUGGUUGAUAGGUAAACGAUCGCGCGGUGUCGUGACACCGGGUAACACGAAGUCGAGGCGAUCAGGUGCUCCCGACCGAGGUGGAACGUUGCCGCUCUACUUUAUUCCGGUUGUCCGUGAACAUGUUGAUGACGAGCGGGAACGAUCGUUAAAAAUUUCUCGAGACCGCGUCUCGUUUAUAUAUCUCUCGAAGUGUAUCCUCGAAGUAUAAUAUCGAUAUUUUCUCGAAUGAAAUUUGCGUGUCGUAUUAAUGGUCCAUCGAUCUUGUAUAAAAAAAAAGAAAACGAUGAUUGGAAAUCGGAAUAAAAUAAAGAAAAUAAUUCGAGGGAAUAAACAUCUUCCCUGCAGAGUGUUGAACCGAAUUUCUACCCGGUAAUAACAACAUUGCGUGCUGACAAUUAUGUAAACUACGCGCGUUAUAUAAGGGAAUUCCAGUGAGAGCGUGUCGUAAAAAAAAAAAAAAAAA
rnacentral:lncRNA from 1 species